rnacentral:rRNA from 1 species
UACGGAGGGUGCAAGCGUUAUCCGGAUUCACUGGGUUUAAAGGGUGCGUAGGUGGGUAAGUAAGUCCGUGGUGAAAUCUCUGAGCUUAACUCAGAAACUGCCGUGGAUACUAUUUAUCUUGAAUAUUGUGGAGGUGAGCGGAAUAUGUCAUGUAGCGGUGAAAUGCUUAGAUAUGACACAGAACACCGAUUGCGAAGGCAGCUCACUAAACUGUAACUGACGCUGAGGCACGAAAGCGUGGGGAGCAAACAGG